rnacentral:rRNA from 1 species
AUACGGAGGGUGCAAGCGUUACCCGGAAUCAUUGGGUUUAAAGGGUGCGCAGGCGGUUUAUUAAGUCAGUGGUGAAAUCUCGGGGCUCAACCUCGAAACUGCCAUUGAUACUGAUAAACUUGAGUUCAGUUGGAGUAGGCGGAAUGUGUAGUGUAGCGGUGAAAUGCUUAGAUAUUACACAGAACACCGAUAGCGAAGGCAGCUUACUAAACUGAUACUGACGCUGAGGCACGAAAGCGUGGGGAGCGAACAGGAUUAGAUACCCUAGUAGUCC